rnacentral:rRNA from 1 species
AGGACGAACGCUGGCGGCGUGCUUAACACAUGCAAGUCGAGCGAGGCCCUUCCUUCGGGAAGGUGCCCUAGCGGCGAACGGGUGAGUAACACGUGGGCAACCUGCCCCUAGCACUGGGAUAACUCCGGGAAACCGGGGCUAAUACCGGAUAUGACCUCGGAAGGCAUCUUCUGAGGUGUAAAGGAUUCUGGCUAGGGAUGGGCCCGCGGCCUAUCAGCUUGUUGGUGGGGUAAUGGCCUACCAAGGCGACGACGGGUAGCCGGCCUGAGAGGGCGACCGGCCACACUGGGACUGAGACACGGCCCAGACUCCUACGGGAGGCAGCAGUGGGGAAUAUUGCACAAUGGGCGAAAGCCUGAUGCAGCGACGCCGCGUGAGGGAUGACGGCCUUCGGGUUGUAAACCGUCUUUCAGCAGGACGAAGCGAAGUGACGGUACCUGCAGAAGAAGCACCGGCCAACUACGCGCCAGCAGCCGCGGU